rnacentral:rRNA from 1 species
AUUGAACGCUGGCGGCAUGCCUUACACAUGCAAGUCGAACGGUAACAGGUCUUCGGAUGCUGACGAGUGGCGAACGGGUGAGUAAUACAUCGGAACGUGCCCGAUCGUGGGGGAUAACGAGGCGAAAGCUUUGCUAAUACCGCAUACGAUCUACGGAUGAAAGCGGGGGAUCUUCGGACCUCGCGCGGACGGAGCGGCCGAUGGCAGAUUAGGUAGUUGGUGGGAUAAAAGCUUACCAAGCCGACGAUCUGUAGCUGGUCUGAGAGGAUGAUCAGCCACACUGGGACUGAGACACGGCCCAGACUCCUACGGGGGGCAGUAGUGGGGAAUUUUGGACAAUGGGCGAAAGCCUGAUCCAGCCAUGCCGCGUGCAGGAUGAAGGCCUUUGGGUUGUAAACUGCUUUUGUACGGAACGAAAAGCCUCUUUCUAAUAAAGAGGGGUCAUGACGGUACCGUAAGAAUAAGCACCGGCUAACUACGUG